CCGCCCCUCUCCUGGCCGCCGCUGCCUCAACCCCACGCGGCGGGGCAGCGGGGCUGCAGGCAUCGCGGCGACCAGCGGCUC
rnacentral:precursor_RNA from 1 species